rnacentral:rRNA from 1 species
GACGAACGCUGGCGGCGUGCUUAACACAUGCAAGUCGAACGGCCCGCCCCUGCUUUUGUGGGGUGCUCGGUUGGCGAACGGGUCAUUAACACUCCAGUAACCUGCCCUUGACUUACGGAUAACUUUACGACACUGGCGCUACUACCGGAUAAGAUCUCCUGCUACAUUGUGGGGGUUGGAAAGUUUCGGCUGUUGGGGAUGGACUCGCGCCAUGUCAGCUUGCUGGUGUGGUAGUGGCUUACCAAGGCUUCGAAUGGUAGCCGGGCUGGGAGGGUGACCGGCCACAUUGGGACUGAGAUACGGCCCAGACUCCUACGGGAGGCAGCAGUGGGGAAUAGUGCACAAUGGGCGGAAGCCUGAUGUAGCAACGCCGCGUGCGGGAUGACGGCCUUCGGGUUGUAAACCGCUGUCGCCUGUGACGAAGCGUGAGUGACGGUAAUGGGUAAAGAAGCACCGGCUAACUACGUG